AACGUAGGUGGCGAGCGUUAUCCGGAUUUACUGGGCGUAAAGCGUGUGCAGGCGGGGUAUCAAGUGGUGUAUGAAAUCGCUCGGCUUAACCGGGCGCGGUUAUGCCAGACUGAUACUCUGGAGUGCGGGAGAGGGGCGUGGAAUUCCGGGGUGGUAGUGGUGAAAUGCGUAGAGAUCCGGAGGAACCCCAGAGGCGAAGGCGGCGCCCUGGCCCGACACUGACGCUCAGA
rnacentral:rRNA from 1 species